AUUGAACGCUGGCGGCAUGCCUUACACAUGCAAGUCGAACGGUAACAGGUCUUCGGAUGCUGACGAGUGGCGAACGGGUGAGUAAUACAUCGGAACGUGCCCGAUCGUGGGGGAUAACGAAGCGAAAGCUUUGCUAAUACCGCAUACGAUCUACGGAUGAAAGCAGGGGACCGCAAGGCCUUGCGCGAACGGAGCGGCCGAUGGCAGAUUAGGUAGUUGGUGGGAUAAAAGCUUACCAAGCCGACGAUCUGUAGCUGGUCUGAGAGGACGACCAGCCACACUGGGACUGAGACACGGCCCAGACUCCUACGGGAGGCAGCAGUGGGGAAUUUUGGACAAUGGGCGAAAGCCUGAUCCAGCCAUGCCGCGUGCAGGAUGAAGGCCUUCGGGUUGUAAACUGCUUUUGUACGGAACGAAAAGACUCUGGUUAAUACCUGGGGUCCAUGACGGUACCGUAAGAAUAAGCACCGGCUAACUACGUGCCAGCAGCCGCCGUAAUAC
rnacentral:rRNA from 1 species